rnacentral:rRNA from 1 species
ACGGAACACAGGUGCUGCAUGGCUGUCGUCAGCUCGUGUCGUGAGAUGUUGGGUUAAGUCCCGCAACGAGCGCAACCCUCGCCCCUAGUUGCCAUCAUUUGGUUGGGCACUCUAGGGGGACUGCCGGUGAUAAGCCGAGAGGAAGGUGGGGAUGACGUCAAGUCCUCAUGGCCCUUACGGGCUGGGCUACACACGUGCUACAAUGGCGGUGACAAUAGGCAGCCAACCUGCGAAGGUGAGCUAAUCCUUUAAAAGCCGUCUCAGUUCGGAUUGCACUCUGCAACUCGAGUGCAUGAAGUU